CUUUAUGCUUCUGCAGAUUCGCCCUUAGAGUUUGAUCCUGGCUCAGCCUGAACGCUGGCGGCGUGGCUAAGACAUGCAAGUCGAACGGAUGUAGCAAUACAUCAGUGGCGGACGGGUGAGUAAUGUAUCGCUAAUGUACCCCGGAGCCUGGGAUAGCUGACCGAAAGGUCAGGUAAUACCAGAUGAUAUAACUUGAUCGCAUGAUCGAGUUCUCAAAGCAGCAAUGCACUCUGGGAGCAGGCGAUAUCGUAUCAGCUUGUUGGUGAGGUAACGGCUCACCAAGGCGACGACGCGUAGCUGGUCUGAGAGGACGGCCAGCCACAUCGGGACUGAGACACUGCCCGGACUCCUACGGGGGGCUGCAGUAACGAAUCUUCCGCAAUGCACGAAAGUGUGACGGAGCGACGCCGCGUGGAGGACGAAGCCCUUCGGGGUGUAAACUCCUGUCAGGGGUUACCAAGUUCUGAGGAGCCCCAGAGGAAGGCACGGCUAACUCUGUGCCAGCAGCCGCGGUAAGACAGAGGUGCCGAGCGUUAGGCGGAAUCACUGGGCUUAAAGCGUGUGUAGGCGGGGCGUUAAGUGCUUUGUGAAAUCCCACGGCUCACCCGUGGAACUGCUUGGCAUACUGGCGCUCUUGAGCCACUUAGGGGCAACUGGAACAAACGGUGGAGCGGUGAAAUGCGUAGAUAUCGUUUGGAACGCCAAAGGUGAAAACAGGUUGCUGGGAGUGUGCUGACGCUGAGACACGAAAGCCAGGGGAGCGAACGGGAUUAGAUACCCCGGUAGUCCUGGUCGUAAACGAUGUCGACUAGAUUCUGGCACCUCUGACGUGUCAGGUCGAGCAAACUGCUAAGUCGACGCCUGGGAAGUACGGUCGCAGGCUAACUCAACGAUGACUGGGGAUCAACUAGCGGUGGAGCAUGUGGGUCAUUCGAGCACGGCAGAACUUACCUGGGACUUGACAUGGCCUGGGAUUAGAUUCC
rnacentral:rRNA from 1 species